UGCCUCAGUAACGGCGAGUGAAGCGGCAAGAGCUCAAAUUUGAAAUCUGGCGUCUUUGGGCGUCCGAGUUGUAAUUUGUAGAGGAUGCUUUGGGCGCGACCACGGUCUAAGUUCGUUGGAACACGACGUCAUAGAGGGUGAGAAUCCCGUCUGGGCCCGUUGGUCAAGCCCGUGUAAAGCUCCUUCGACGAGUCGAGUUGUUUGGGAAUGCAGCUCAAAAUGGGUGGUAAAUUUCAUCUAAAGCUAAAUAUGGGCCAGAGACCGAUAGCGCACAAGUAGAGUGAUCGAAAGAUGAAAAGCACUUUGAAAAGAGAGUUAAACAGCAUGUGAAAUUGUUAAAAGGGAACCGCUUGCGACCAGACUUGGCUGCGGGGGCUCAACCGACGUUCUCGUCGGGGCACUCCUCCGUGGACAGGCCAGCAUCGGUUUGGGUAGUCGGUCAAAGGCUCUAGGAAUGUACCCUCCUCGGAGGACUUAUAGCCUGGGGUGCCACGCGACUCACCUGGACCGAGGAACGCGCUUCGGCUCGGAUGCUGGCGUAAUGGUCGUAAGCGACCCGUCUUGAAACACGGACCAAGGAGUCAACCAACUGUGCGAGUGUUUGGGUGUCAAACCCCGGCGCGCAAUGAAAGUGAACGGAGGUGGGAACCCUUGGGUGCACCAUCGACCGAUCCUGAUGUCUUCGGAUGGAUUUGAGUACGAGCAUAGCUGGUUGGACCCGAAAGAUGGUGAACUAUGCCUGAAUAGGGUGAAGCCAGAGGAAACUCUGGUGGAGGCUCGCAGCGGUUCUGACGUGCAAAUCGAUCGUCAAAUUUGGGUAUAGGGGCGAAAGACUAAUCGAACCAUC
rnacentral:rRNA from 1 species